AACCUGCAGCCACAGUAGUCAUCCAGGGCAGGCUAUGAACAAAUACUGUGAAACAUGUGUAAUUAAAUAACUGUAAACCAAAAUUGAAAUAUAAAAAAUGUCAUAAAAACUUUUUGGAAUUAUUUAAUUUGUUUUAGCUCCAGGAAACCAAACGACCAGUUCAGAACUGAACAAUCAUACUGGGGACUUUGUAGCACAUCCAACAACUACUGCGAAAACGGAAGAAGGACAAUGGUUAAAGCACAAUGGAAAAUCGUAUUAUUUUACAACAGAAAAACGCUCUUGGGAUAACGCAAACACUUUCUGCAGGAAGCAAAGUUCAAACCUCACAAUGAUCAAGUCAACUGAGGAACUGAAUUUCAUAAUGAAUCACACUGUUAGAGAAAUAUGGAUUGGAUUGAGAAAAGAGAAUGAAAAAUGGAAUUGGAUCGAUGGAACAACUUUUCAGAACAACAUAUUUAAAGAAGGUAUUCAGCAAGUGAAGGCUGGGAUGGACUGUGUUAUGAUAAUGAAAUCUGGUUUGAUGUAUGCAGCACCUUGCAAAACUCGUUAUCACUGGGUCUGUGAAAAGAUAACAUUACAGAAGUGAUAUAUUAUCUAGGUGUAUUAAAAAUAUAUACGUUUUCUCUGUCAUUUAUAUUUAUUUAAUAUACUUUCUUUAAUUUAUUUUUAAAUGUUUUGGCUUCAGGAGAUGUUGAAGAAAACAUUAAUGUCAAGUGUAAAUGUGUUAUUCAUUUAAAAUAAAUCAAUAAAUAAAUAAAGGCAAAAACACAAAUAAAUUGUUUAAAUAUUUUAAAGGUAUUUACUUUUAUGUAUUAUUUUACCAUAAGUACAGUCCCUUUGCAUAUUUUUGCUUGUUAAGUUUUAGUAUGAAAACAACCAUACUACUGAUAUCAUGGGGUCUGGUCAGAUGGUUGUAGUCGCUGAAAGUCGGGAACGACAAAGAAAUGGAAACCAAUAUAAAAUAAAAAGCAAUUUCUUUAUUCUUGGUGAGUUAGAGAGACUGCAGCCUCAAAGCCCCCCUGCUGUCAAUGCCUCCAGUCUCUGGCUGGUCAGAACAGACAAUCUGCUAAUAUAAGAGAAAAUUCCUCUCUUAUAUUACCUAACUAAUUCAUUAGCCAAAGAGAAAAAACAUGACAGUUCAUUUUGAGGUCAUACAUAGAUUGCUUUAAGUUACGUUUACAUCCUGAUUAUUACAUGCAAGAGUGCACAGAGUUUCUUAUCCAAAUAAAGAGCUAUUAGGGCACUCACAUUCCAAAAAAUACGCUGUCAUCAGCACACACACACAAGACCAGUUUAAAGCAGUUUCUUAUAGUCAGCAUUUUCUCAUAAAUGAACGCAAGAC